AAAACGGUUUCAACCCGAAGGCGCUUUCUGUUUUUCUGUCCAGGCCCAGAUUUUGAAGUUUUUCGUUACAGAUGGGUCCCUGGCAGAAGCACCUCAUAUCUUUUUAACCACAACUCCAAAUGAGGUGAUUCCAAAGCCCACUUCUUCGUUUCAUCGAGCCCGUUCUGAUGGAACCAUUUUCACCAUGUUUUGACAUUCUGAAAUUGACCAUUUUACCACUGCCAUUAUUCAGCCCCCUCCAAGAGAGUACGUUUUCCAGCGAUCCUUUCCACGAGUUUCUCGCACUUUCUCUUGGUGAUUUCCACCACCCCAGGCAAGCCACACCCUCCAUUUGCAUGAUUGCAAUGCAUUGACAUGGUUUAAAUUAUUUGAACUUGUUUAAAAUAUUGCUUUAGCUACACGACUUUGUGCAUGGCAAUUUCUCGGAGUUGUAUUUUGAUCUUGUUAUUGCCAUGAUGUUGCUUGGAGUUGGACUUUUAUUUUGCAGCUUAUGUGGUUGACAUGUUGCCAUUGGAUUAUUAGUGGCUUAUGUUAUGAUGGUGGUGUUGGGUAUGAUAUUUUUGGAGUAUUACUUUGGAUAUCAUGCUGCCUUUGGAUUAUUAGUGGUUAGUAUGAUUAUUUUUCAUGAUGGUAUAUGAUAUUUUUGGAGUAUUACUUUGAAUAUCAUGCCGCCUUUGGAUUAUUAGUGGCUAGUAUGAUUAUUUUUCAUGAUGGUAUAUGAUAUUUUUGGAGUAUUACUUUGGAUAUCAUGCUGCCUUUGGAUUAUUAGUGGUUAAUAUGAUUAUUUUUCAUGAUGGUAUUUGAUGUUAUUUUGAAGUAUUACUUUGGAUAUCAUGCUGCCUUUGGAUUAUUAGUGGUUAGUAUGAUUAUUUUCAUGAUGGUAUCUGUUAUUAUAUUUUGGAGUAUUACUUUGGAUGUCAUGUUGCCUUCGGAGUAUUAGUGGCUUUUAUGAUUAGUUUCAUGGUGGUUUUGGAUAUAUCUUGGAGUAUUUGCUUUGGAUGUCAUACUGCCUUUGGAUUAUUAGUGUUUAGUAUGAUUAUUUUCAUGAUGCUAGUUGAUGUUCUGUUGCUUGGAGUAUUAUUUUCGGAGAUGAUGUUUACAUGUGGAUCUCAGCCGAAUAGCUUUAUUCUUGUUAUUGGAGUAGUAGGAGUAUUGUUUUCGGAUUCAUCAUGACAGUAGUGUUGUGCUACCCUUGGAGUAUUUUGAGAUGAUGAUAUUAUGCUUGGAUUAUUUGUUGGAUCUAUGAUUUGGAUUAUAGUUUUAUAGUUGAUAUUGGAGUAGCAGUUACCACAGCUAUACUUUUGGGGAUAAAUUCCGUCAUUAAGUUGGUCAGGUGCCGCCGAACCGGGCUUUUCGAGUGCAACCACACUUGCCUUUACGGGAAGGCCCUAAUGCGGUGUAUUGUCGUGCCUCUCGCCAGUGCCUCCAACUAGGGAAGGUUAUUGUAACACCCUCGAUGCGACUAUAUCUCCCACGUGUCGAGGCACGACUUAGAGGCAUAAUCGCAUUGAAGGCAUAUGUCGCAAGUUAGGCAAUCUUCACAACAUCCCAUGUAAUAUAAUAAUGAAAGGGGAGAUAACAUAGUUGGCUUACACUCGCCACGUCAAUCAAGUACAUAAAUAACAUAACAUCAUCCAAACACUCAUGGCCCGACUACGGCGCCAAAAUAAAAUAGAACCCAACAUGCGACAACGGUCCCGUUCACCCCCAACUGGGCACCACUACUGAUCAUCAGGAAAGGAAACAUACUAACAUUGAGAGUCUUCGUCGAACUCCCACUUGAGCUCAUACGCG
rnacentral:lncRNA from 1 species